rnacentral:rRNA from 1 species
CCCUUAGAUGUUCUAGGCCGCACGCGCGCUACACUGACGAUGGCAACGAGUUUUUCCUUCGCCGAAAGGUGUGGGUAAUCUUUUGAAACAUCGUCGUGCUGGGGAUAGAUCAUUGCAAUUUUUGAUCUUGAACGAGGAAUUCCUAGUAAGCGCGAGUCAUCAGCUCGCGUUGAUUACGUCCCUGCCCUUUGUACACACCGCCCGUCGCUACUACCGAUUGAAUGGUUUAGUGAGGACUCCUGAUUGGCGCCGCCGCCCCGGCAACGGAGCAGCGGACUGCCGAAAAGUUGUUCAAACUUGAUCAUUUAGAGGAAGUAAAAGUCGUAACA